UUGCUUUUUUAUUCCAGUUACCUGGAAUGACCUUGAGCCAGGAUCACUCUGGUGACAAAUACACUGAUUUUAAUAUUUAACUUGUUUUUACUAUUCUACUUCAUAGACCCAGUGGGUUCUUUUUAUCCUUAGCACCUUCAUCAUUAAUUGCCACAUACAUAUUCUCCAGCCAGGUAAGCCCUGCACCAAAGUUCCUUUUGCUUAUGUCAAUUGCAGCAUCCUAACCUUGUCCUCUUUAGCCUCAACUUUCAGAUAUCCUUGGAGUUCUGACUAGCAAAGCUCUCUUCCCACUCAUUGCCGGGAAAACAAAGUUCAAUGGUGCAGCUUCUCCUGUGAGCCACUCUCAUCUUUUCUUUUCCAAAACAACACAUUAAUCCAAAAGCAAACAGUUACUCCCCAGUAAAUUUGAGAAACAUGCACCCUCCCCUCUCUAUCCUGUAUUUUCAGACUAGGGAUGUGUACACAUGUGCUCACAAACACACCCACAUGGAGAUAGAAAAGAUUGGGAGAUGGUAAUACACAUGGACCCUGAACUGUUUUCUUCUGACUGCAAGAUAAGGGGAAAUCUCGGGACUUCUCUUUCGAGAGUGCUUUUCCCUUCUACAUGUGGGUUCAGCUCAGGCCAGAGCAAGCUGCCAAUCUCGCAGGACAAUCAAGUCCCAUCUCAUUUUAUCCCUCAGCGUUUCCUGGUGAAGGUACUUCGAUUUCCAAAGCAAUGAUGGUUUGCAGUGUGACAGCAAUGACUUUUUUCAAUAGGAAAUUCAGUGCUUCAACUUUUCUAGUUCUAGCUUUUUCUUAGUCCUGUGGAACUUUGAUGUAUGCAUAAUCUUCGGGUUUUGGCACUCAUAUUUAAUGUUAGUGCCUGAAAUCAUCUGAGGGUACAGCUCUUUCCCCAGACAUCCAUUCUUCUUUUCAAACUGGCCUCCGGCAGGGUUCUUCUGCACAUUGCGUCAAUUGUUCCCCAGACUUGGAACCUGACUUAAACACUUGUCACACUAAUACAGAUUCCCUUUCUCCUGCCCCCUCCAAAUUCUCACUUUCUGCACUUUCCUCUCUUCAUAAGACAGAAAAAUACAUCUAAACAGAGGUAUGUAAACUUCUUUUAUUUCCUCCAGAUAAACUCUUCUUCCCUAUGACAAGGUAUGAAAUGGCAUAUAUGAAUGAUGAGAAUUCCUAAACUUAGUUUAUCCCAUACAAUUCAAGAAAUGGUUCAUGCUCCCUAAUCCCCUGGUUUGUUACGACACUUACUGGAUACGCAAAUAGCAGAAACCAUUUCACAUUGAGGGAAACAGGAAUGGCAAAGUGACAAUCACUGCCUUACGUUACAAACUGAGCAGUAACAGCAAAAAAAAAAAAAAAAAAAAAAAAAAAAAAAAAGACUGACCACUUUGCAGUUACCUCAGCAGAACCUCAUUGCACCUGAUUUAUUACUGAGGCCCCUGCGGAAGACCUUAGCUCCCACCUUCUGCAUCCCUCGGGUGACUUAAACAGGACUCCUAUUUAACUACCAUGAACAAAAUAAUUACCUGUACAUGAUUUUAAAAAUGUUAUAUUGUGCUUAACUCUAUGAGGAUAAAAAGUAAUUAAGUGGGUUGAGAUUUGCUACAUAUUUUCACUACUCAGAUAAAAGUUUUAACCAAAAUUAUGCCAGGCUCAUUUUGGCAGUUAGAUAUAAACCCAGCAUUAACAAGCCACACGCCAAAAGAUGUUACUCCCAAGGCCUCAGAGAAAAUGGGUAAACAAGGGCCCACAUCUCAAAUAAAGCUUCAACUUCCCAAUUUUGCCAGUUGCCAUCUCAUUUGUUUUCUCACGCUGGCAUUUUUGGUUGCGAUGGAGUAGGAACCUCUUUCAUUAACUCUGCUGGCAGAGGUGUCUCGCUGUAGGCUCACCUUCUCUGCCUUAACAUGAAUCUGGUUGGAUAUGGCCUUUGUCACCUCCCCCUUCUCAACAGAUCUGUGAUGUGCCAUCCUGAGGAGGGGCCUAGGUGAUCUGAGCUAAGCAGGCAGGGAGGGGCAGGUUGGAUUUUCCACCCACUCCCUAAUCAGUUGAUGGGCGAUGGCUAACUUAGGGGGCAACCAGAAUGGGAAAGUCCCAUCCUGUUGCUGAGCAUAUGGGUGCUUCCUCUUCAGGGCUGCGAGCACCUCCUCAUGGCUAAACCAGGCAGCUGCUUCUAGCUCUUUCAAGUUCACCUGGAUCUGAAAGACAUAAGGAAAAACAGAAUGUAAGAUUGGGAGCUACGAAAGUUAGAAUUCUAUAGCUAAAGGUGAGAAAACAGUUCUAGAACUGAGCAAUCUUAGAAGAUAAUACCUGGGAUCCAUAGGCUGGGAACAAAUCAAUUCUAGAUAUUGCCCAGAAGCAAAAGAGGCACAUGUAAGAGAUGAGAGUUAAAUAUAUUUUUAAUAGUAAAAACCUAGAAAUACAAAUACUAAAAUAUUAAGAGUGAGUAGCAUAGAGGGGUUGAUUAUGAAUAAUAGUUGUUUUGCUUUGUGCCUCUAUUGCUCAUAUAAACAUACAAAUGUUUUUCUUCUUUAAAAGGUAAAGGUUAAUUAAUGAUCAUCAAAAUCAUUGUAUCUUCUUUGCAAGGAGCAAAGUAGUACAAACUGAAUCUACAGGAAGGUGAGGCAGAUUAGAUAGUAUUCAUUCCAUAGAAACCAAAACACAAUAGACGGAUUUUGGUAGAUAGGGACCACAAUGCCAUCUGUAAGGGAUGCUAUAGAAGAUGAGGUUGGAUAAGACAAUCUCUAAGUCCCUUUCAACUAGAAGUUCCUAUAAUCAUUAUUAUUAUGGAAUUGAUAAUAAUUAUCAAUAAUUAUCAGUGCUCAACAUCCUGACUGACUUGAGCAAUAAGAUCAACCUUGACAUCAAUAAUUAAAUUUGAUAUAUGAUUUGCCUAAUCUAUGCGAGAUGCUCUGUUAAGUCCUGAUGAUGAAAGGUAAGUUGUCUCGUGAUUGAGAUUUGUACAAGGAAGAAUGAUGACCAUGUUGGCACUCCCAGUUUUUGUGGUAAUUCUUUUCUCUACAAGAUUGAAAAUUCCUUAAAGAUAUAAAUCAUUUCUUACACACAUUUGUACAAUCGAGACAAUGCUGGACUAGGCAGAUGCUUAGUAAGUACCUACUGACAAGCUUAGAUGAGGCAAGGGAAUGUCAGAGCAUAAGGGACGCAGCACUUACCUCUGUCUGCCCUGGUUUCACAAUUGCGUGACAAGCAAUCAUGAGUGAGCUAUUGGGGAAGGGCCAGUGCUGGGAUGCAGAGUACUGCAGUCUUUCCACCUCCAGUCCCACCUCUUCUGCAACUUCUCGAUGGACAGUCUCUUCCAGAGUUUCACCUACAAGCACUCAGAUUAAUUCAGGACAGCCCUGCAGCAGGAGGGGUGAUACAGACGCCCAUUUGUGAAAGAGCACAAAAUGGGCUCCGUAGCUUCAAUGAAAAGACUCUUGGGAGAGCCUAAAAUCUCUGAGUCUCUACAACAUUAGAAAUCAAGUCUAAAGUUGGGUGUUGAACUGCGAUACUUAAACCUACUAGGGUAGUUAUAAUACAAAAUAGGAGUGGCAGUGGGAGUGGUUACUGCUGUCGUCAGUUUUAAUAAAAUUCUAAUGUGACAUACCGCCAUUUUCGAAUUUUACCCCAAUAGGCUGAGAAAACACACCUGUAAAUAAAUAUUAAUUCUAGUUAAUAUUAUGCAUGUUGAAAUAUUUAGGGAGUGGUGAGUGUAUGGGUUUUCACUGAUUAGUUCUUUCAACUAUGCUGCACGUGUGAAAGUUUGCCUGUAAAAUAUGGAAAAUUAUAACGCCAGGGGCCGUUUUCUUGACAGGGAAGAAGGUGCUUGAGGCUCCAAGCACUAUGACAGCAACACAGAGAAAUAACUACCAUCGAUAUGCUGUCGUGUCUCUAAGUCCUUACCUAUGUCACAGAAACCUGCCAGGGCAGAGUACAUCCCCUGGGGAAAGGAACUCUGGCGGGCAAGCAAGCAUCGAGUCCCAUCCGACACCAGAGUGAUCACCACGGGAGCCAUCUAGGAAAGGGGGUGGCAGCUUAGACACCGGGCUAUGGAGCCUGUAAGUAGGAUGACGAGUGAAUCCCUGAGGAAAGCCUGUACAGGCUCCCAUCCCCAGCACAGCCUGGAGAGCUUCUUGGAUGAUUCCUGUCCCUCCAGAGCCGUCCUUACCUGCGGGUAAUAGAUGAUCUUGUUGGAAGGGCACACACGCUUGCUGCCAGCCACGUUCUUUUUGGUGGGCUGCCCGCUUCUGCUGCAGAACUGGUGAGCAUCGUGCCAGCGGAGGAGAGCCUGCGCCUAGGAAUGCAAGGUGCACUUGGUUUCGUGUGAGAGCGCCGGCUCAUCUGGGACAGUGCUGGGCUCGGAGGGAAAUGCCAGUGCCUUUUCAGUCCCUCUAUUUUAAAUGGUUUAUUACUGUCUAACCUUUAAAAUAAGGAAGCUAUUGAACAUAUUCCUCCAUCAUCUGAAGCGUGGAUAAAAGUGUAGGCCAAGUAUAUUAUGAAUUAUUUAAAAAAUACGUGAUAUAUAAAGUAUUAAACACCCCUUGUACUUAUGGCCCAGCUUAAAAAUAAGACACUUUCAAUAAAGUUUAACAUUCCAA